rnacentral:rRNA from 1 species
GAUGAACGCUGGCGGCGUGCUUAACACAUGCAAGUCGAACGGGAAACCUUUUAUUGAAGCUUCGGCAGAUUUAGCUGGUUUCUAGUGGCGGACGGGUGAGUAACGCGUGGGUAACCUGCCUUGUACAGGGGGAUAACAGUCAGAAAUGACUGCUAAUACCGCAUAAGCGCACAGGACCGCAUGGUCCGGUGUGAAAAACUCCGGUGGUAUAAGAUGGACCCGCGUUGGAUUAGCUUGUUGGUGGGGUAACGGCCCACCAAGGCGACGAUCCAUAGCCGGCCUGAGAGGGUGAACGGCCACAUUGGGACUGAGACACGGCCCAGACUCCUACGGGAGGCAGCAGUGGGGAAUAUUGCACAAUGGGGGAAACCCUGAUGCAGCGACGCCGCGUGAAGGAAGAAGUAUCUCGGUAUGUAAACUUCUAUCAGCAGGGAAGAAAAUGACGGUACCUGACUAAGAAG